GUAACUCAAUCAUAGCCAAAAAAGCUCUUUGAAGAAUGUAGGAUUAUAUAGUCUCCCUUAAUCCUUUUGAUUUAGAAUUAUAGUUUUGAAAAAAGGGGGGGAAAUGUUAAAAUCUCAAGGAAAAGGAGGAGACGAGCGAAAAACCCAGUUUCGAAGAUAAGAAAAAUAAAAAAAAUAAAAAAGAAGACCAAAAGGUCUCGAGUUAGUUGAAUAAACGAGCACAAAAGCUCAAAGUGGUAGUUUUUGCAUAAGGGAC
rnacentral:lncRNA from 1 species